UACAGAGGGGGCAAGCGUUGUUCGGAAUUACUGGGCGUAAAGGGCGCGUAGGCGGCCUUCUAAGUCGAACGUGAAAUCCCCGGGCUCAACCCGGGAACUGCGUCCGAUACUGGAAGGCUUGAAUCCGGGAGAGGGAUGCGGAAUUCCAGGUGUAGCGGUGAAAUGCGCAGAUAUCAGGAGGAACACCAAUUGCGAAGGCAGCUCGCUGGGACGUAACUGACGCUGAGACGCGAAAGCGUGGGGAGCAAACAGG
rnacentral:rRNA from 1 species